ACGUGGCGGAGGCUCACACUGCAGGUGUAGCGCGCCUUCUGGUGAGCGCCGGACGGGUUAGUAACGCGUGGGAACGUGCCCUUCUCUACGGAAUAGCCUCUGGAAACGGAGAGUAAUACCGUAUACGCCCUUUGGGGGAAAGAUUUAUCGGAGAAGGAUCGGCCCGCGUUAGGUUAGGUAGUUGGUGGGGUAACGGCCUACCAAGCCUACGAUCUAUAGCUGGUUUUAGAGGAUGAUCAGCAACACUGGGACUGAAACACGGCCCAGACUCCUACGGGAGGCAGCAGUGGGGAAUCUUAGACAAUGGGCGCAAGCCUGAUCUAGCCAUGCCGCGUGAGUGAUGAAAGCCCUAGGGUCGUAAAGCUCUUUCGACAUGGAUGAUCAUGACGGUAACUGGUAAAGAAAACCCGGCUAACUCCAUGCCAGCAGCCGCGGUCAUACGGAGGGGGUUAGCGUUGUUCGGAAUUACUGGGCGUAAAGCGCGCGUACGCGGACCAGAAAGAUGGGGGUGAAAUCCCGGGGCUCAAACCCGGAACGGACUCCAAAAAUCCUAGUCUUGAGUUCGAGAGAAGUGAGUGGAAUACCGAGUGUAGAGGUGAAUUCGUAGAUAUUCGGAAGGACACCAGUG
rnacentral:rRNA from 1 species